GGGAGAACAUGCAAACUCCACACAGUGAGAGCCGGAGCCGGGAUCGAACCCACAACCUCUGCACUGUGAUGUCGACACGCUAAACACUUGACUACCGGGC